rnacentral:rRNA from 1 species
UCCUGAGUAGCGGCGAGCGAAACGGAAUCUAGCCCAAACCAAGAGGCUUGCCUCUUGGGGUUGUAGGACAUUCUAUACGGAGUUACAAAGGAACGAGGUAGACGAAGCAGCCUGGAAAGGCUCGUCAUAGAGGGUAACAACCCCGUAGUCGAAACUUCGUUCUCUCUUGAAUGUAUCCUGAGUACGGCGGAACACGUGAAAUUCCGUCGGAAUCUGGGAGGACCAUCUCCCAAGGCUAAAUACUACCUAGUGAUCGAUAGUGAACCAGUACCGUGAGGGAAAGGUGAAAAGCACCCCGGAAGGGGAGUGAAAGAGAUCCUGAAACCGUGUGCCUACAAAUAGUCAGAGCCCGUUAAUGGGUGAUGGCGUGCCUUUUGUAGAAUGAACCGGCGAGUUACGAUCCCGUGCGAGGUUAAGCUGAAGAGGCGGAGCCGUAGCGAAAGCGAGUCUGAAUAGGGCGUUUAGUACGUGGUCGUAGACCCGAAACCAGGUGAUCUACCCAUGUCCAGGGUGAAGUUCAGGUAACACUGAAUGGAGGCCCGAACCCACGCACGUUGAAAAGUGCGGGGAUGAGGUGUGGGUAGCGGAGAAAUUCCAAUCGAACCUGGAGAUAGCUGGUUCUCCCCGAAAUAGCUUUAGGGCUAGCCUUAAGUGUAAGAGUCUUGGAGGUAGAGCACUGAUUGAACUAGGGGUCCUCAUCGGAUUACCGAAUUCAGUCAAACUCCGAAUGCCAAUGACUUAUCCUUAGGAGUCAGACUGCGAGUGAUAAGAUCCGUAGUCAAGAGGGAAACAGCCCAGAUCGCCAGCUAAGGUCCCAAAGUGUGUAUUAAGUGGAAAAGGAUGUGGAGUUGCUUAGACAACUAGGAUGUUGGCUUAGAAGCAGCCACCAUUUAAAGAGUGCGUAAUAGCUCACUAGUCGAGUGACUCUGCGCCGAAAAUGUACCGGGGCUAAAUACACCACCGAAGCUGCGAAUUGAUACCUAUGGUAUCAGUGGUAGGGGAGCGUUCUAAGGGCAGUGAAGUCAGACCGUAAGGACUGGUGGAGCGCUUAGAAGUGAGAAUGCCGGUAUGAGUAGCGAAAGACGGGUGAGAAUCCCGUCCACCGAAUGCCUAAGGUUUCCUGAGGAAGGCUCGUCCGCUCAGGGUUAGUCAGGACCUAAGCCGAGGCCGACAGGCGUAGGCGAUGGACAACAGGUUGAUAUUCCUGUACCACCUCUUUAUCGUUUGAGCAAUGGAGGGACGCAGAAGGAUAGAAGAAGCGUGCGAUUGGUUGUGCACGUCCAAGCAGUUAGGCUGAUAAGUAGGCAAAUCCGCUUAUCGUGAAGGCUGAGCUGUGAUGGGGAAGCUCCUUAUGGAGCGAAGUCUUUGAUUCCCCGCUGCCAAGAAAAGCUUCUAGCGAGAUAAAAGGUGCCUGUACCGCAAACCGACACAGGUAGGCGAGGAGAGAAUCCUAAGGUGUGCGAGAGAACUCUGGUUAAGGAACUCGGCAAAAUGACCCCGUAACUUCGGGAGAAGGGGUGCUUUCUUAACGGAAAGCCGCAGUGAAUAGGCCCAAGCGACUGUUUAGCAAAAACACAGGUCUCUGCGAAGCCGUAAGGCGAAGUAUAGGGGCUGACACCUGCCCGGUGCUGGAAGGUUAAGGAGAGGGGUUAGCGUAAGCGAAGCUCUGAACUGAAGCCCCAGUAAACGGCGGCCGUAACUAUAACGGUCCUAAGGUAGCGAAAUUCCUUGUCGGGUAAGUUCCGACCCGCACGAAAGGUGUAACGAUUUGGGCACUGUCUCAACCAGAGACUCGGUGAAAUUAUAGUACCUGUGAAGAUGCAGGUUACCCGCGACAGGACGGAAAGACCCCGUGGAGCUUUACUGUAGCCUGAUAUUGAAUUUUGGUACAGUUUGUACAGGAUAGGCGGGAGCCUUUGAAGCCGGAGCGCUAGCUUCGGUGGAGGCGCUGGUGGGAUACCGCCCUGACUGUAUUGAAAUUCUAACCUACGGGUCUUAUCGACCCGGGAGACAGUGUCAGGUGGGCAGUUUGACUGGGGCGGUCGCCUCCUAAAGUGUAACGGAGGCGCCCAAAGGUUCCCUCAGAAUGGUUGGAAAUCAUUCGUAGAGUGCAAAGGCAUAAGGGAGCUUGACUGCGAGACCUACAAGUCGAGCAGGGACGAAAGUCGGGCUUAGUGAUCCGGUGGUU